GGUCGCAUAGCUCAGCUGGUCAGAGCGCACGGUUCACAUCCGUGAGGUCCUUGGUUCGAGUCCAAGUGCGACCA
rnacentral:tRNA from 2 species